rnacentral:rRNA from 1 species
GCCAGACUCCUACGGGAGGCAGCAGUGGGGAAUAUUGCACAAUGGGGGAAACCCUGAUGCAGCGACGCCGCGUGAGUGAAGAAGUAUUUCGGUAUGUAAAGCUCUAUCAGCAGGAACGAGACAAGACGGUACCUGACUAAGAAGCCCCGGCUAACUACGUGCCAGCAGCCGCGGUAAUACGUAGGGGGCAAGCGUUAUCCGGAUUUACUGGGUGUAAAGGGAGCGUAGACGGCGAUGCAAGCCAGAUGUGAAAGCCCGGGGCUCAACCCCGGGACUGCAUUUGGAACUGUGUGGCUGGAGUGUCGGAGAGGCAAGUGGAAUUCCUAGUGUAGCGGUGAAAUGCGUAGAUAUUAGGAGGAACACCAGUGGCGAAGGCGGCUUGCUGGACGAUGACUGACGUUGAGGCUCGAAAGCGUGGGGAGCAAACAGGAUUAGAUACCCCCGUAUA